UCGUUAUACGUUUCUUUGGUUCUAUACUUUGCAUUUACACUUUGUUUUUACAUUUUGCAUUUUAUUUCCACAUUUGCUUCCAUACUUUACAUUUAGUUUGGUAUCAUAGCAUUUUCAUUUUUAAUAAAUUCUCCAUAGAAUUGUUUUAGUAAUACUUUUAAGAUGGUAAAAGUCUCUUAAAUUUGAUCAUCAAUUUUAGGUCAUGUGACAUGAUUGGAUGCUUUACUUACAUGAUAUUGGUUUAAAUGGUGGUGGAUUCCUUUUUGAUUAAUCAAGCUUGAUUGCAUUACAAUACCUAGAGAGGACCACUUAAAGCCUAAACUCUAUUAUUUUCUUUGUAUGGCAUGUACUCAUAGUAAUUGAACUCUAGAACUUGCUUAGUUUCUUUUCAAAGUCACAAUUGCAUAUGUAUGCAUGGAAAUAAAGGAUAUUUGUCAUUCUUGUUCUAUCAUAAUUUCUAAUUCCUUUUCCCACAAUCUUCUUGUAACAUUCUCAUCUAGCAUUCUAAUUCUUAAUUCUCUUUGCUUGUCAUAUUUCUUUUAUUUCGUUGAGAGUUUUGGAUUAAUUGCUUGAUGAGUUAGCUUGACUAGAUGAGCAAAGAAUUAAGUGUGGGGGAGGAUUUGCAUGAAAUCAAAGAUCAUAAAGGCUUUGGAGGGUUUAAGGAGUACUAAAUUCUAUUUUUAAAGCAUAGUCUAUUUUUGGGCUUGUUAUAGUUUGAAGAUUCUAUUGCUACAAUUUUGGAUUUACUGGAGUUUCAAUCAAUAACCAAUAGAUUGGAUUGAAGCUUGGUGUUGAGUAAUACAUGAACCUUAAUCUUGAAAGAGAAUUCAAGCUAUUGUAUCAAAAUUGAUGUGCUGAUUUCAACAGUUGCGGAGACUUGGUUAGCUAAUUGUUAGGAGGCUGCAUGAAUUUCCACUUAUACUAUAUGGGUGCAUUAUGCUUCAAUCAGAUUAUUCAUGCUUUUCAGAAUGGAAAGUUAAAGAAGUGCAGAAAUAAAAGGGAAACAAAUUCUGCUAGUGUGGCAAUAGUGGAGUAGCAAAUGGAGCAGUGACAACAACAUAACAGAUCUGAUUUCUGAUAUUGCUAUUGCUGAGUUUGGUUUUGAUUAGCAUCUGUUGUGAAUCAAAGGUAGACUUGACUUGCUGAGAAUUCGUGAUAAGAGUUUGGAAGUGUAGGAAAAACAAAAGUGUGGCAGUGAAUCAUGGAUGCAUGUUAAUUUAAUGGUGCUGAUUUUUUGAAUUGUCCAAUUUCAUUGUAGUGGAAGGAAUCAGUAAAAAGAGGUGGAAGUUGUGCAACCAUUGGAAGCAGAAAUCAGAUAUCAUUGGAAGCAGGAAGCAGGAAAGCAACGGAACAGAGACAGAUAAAAAGAAGAGAACCUGCAGAAUAAUUAUACAAACAGAUGCAGAAAUAUGUAGAAAUUUGUUUGGAAAUACAAGAUUUUGUGCCAAAAGUGUAUCAAAUAUUAGGGACAACAAUUAAACAAGUGAGAAAUUUAAGUGAAGCUUUGCUAAUUCAGACACAAAUGGUAUUCUUGUAUUUCUAUGUCUUCUACAAAUUGAAGCAACAUAUUUCUAAAAAAAUCUGCUGCUGAAAAGUGGAAAUAGGAAGCUGAAGGUUAGGAAUUUGUUGCUGGAAAUGGAAAUGAAAGUAAUGUUUUCUGAAUUACACAAAAAGAAACCAUUUUUCAAGGAGCAGGAGUUAAAUGCAAUGAAGAAACAAGUUUUAGAGACUGUAAUUGGGAGUUAAAUGCAGAAUCCAGUAAGGGCAACAAGAAACAAAACAUAAUUCUGUUUUAAUUGUGUAUCAAGUGUGUGCCAAAAUUUUGUCAGCAAACUUCAAAUCAUUGAAGAACUUAAGUGAAGAUCUUGUAUUUCCAAUAACAAAUGGUGGUUAAUUAGUGAAGAAGUCUCGAGCAACAGAUUUAAGAAAUGCAAUUUGAAUAUUGGAAUUGUAAUGCUAAAUCUAGAAGUGGUUGAAAUGUCUAACUGAAGUAGUCAGUUCAGAAAUGCAGAGAGGGAUUUCUGGUUAGUUGAGCAUUGAUAUGUUAUGAAUAUUGGUAGUUUGUCCAAAAUAUCAAAAUUUCAAGACAUCAAAAGGUAGCAAAUUGUGAACCAAAAGUCUGCACUAAUUUACUGGAUUAGUAUUUCUUAUACACUGGAUUUUUAGAAUUCUACACUGGAAUUUAAUUUCCAGUUUUCUGAUUGAAGCUAAAUUCUGAAAUUACUGAGCUGAAUUCAUUACUUCACUGCACAUCUCAUAAUUAUGCAGAAACUUGAUGAUAAUUAUGCAUUCCCUAAUUUUUGAAACUGAAGAUUCAGGAGUAGUUGGAUUGCUAAAUGAAUCUUAGUAUUUUCCAUUCGGGGUGCAAAAGUAAGCUUCCAUCUGCAACAAACUACAAGUGAGACCAUGCCAAUGAAUUCAGGAAAAUGAAUCAGUAGGAAAAAGAACCUGAAUUCAUAUUGCUGGAAUUGAUUUCUGAGCUGCUGAAACUUAAGCUUUAAAUCUGAAAUUCUGAUUUUGAAUUUUGAAUUCUGAAAUUGGAUUGCUGGAAUAGGAGCUGCAGUUUUCUUGUUUGUGUGUGCUAGUUUUUGUAUGAAGAUCCAAACUUUUGGUAGUUCUUGUUUGCUACUAUGCUCCUUCCUUUGCCUUUUGUAUUGUUUCUAUAAUUCUGUAUAGCUUGAAGCUAUUCUGAAACAGGGAGGGCAGUGGUAAUAAUCAUAGAAAGCUUUGUGUUGUAGGUGGUUUCCUCCUAGCAACCUGUAAUCAUCUGCUGGUGUUUGCUUAAUUCACUUAGUGGAUGAAAUUGCCAUGAGAUCGCACUAGGGUGAUGCUUACAUUUGGGUUGACUGUUUUCUGCAAUUGCUGUUGCUAAUUCAGAAGAAAUGUAGAAACAAUGAAAUGAAGCAGAAAAUCUUCAAUUGUAGAAGCAGAAAUGAAUUGCUGAAUCUGGGCAGUGCUGAAUUUGGACAGUAGGCAAACUCUGAGAAAUUGUGAGUGCAGAUUUUCAGAAUUGAAUCAUGAAUCUGAAUUCAUGAGUUUAAUCUCUUGCUACUUUGGUUGAAUCCUGGUUAAUUCUAAAUAGAUUGCACUUGAACUACAAAUCCAGAAGCUAUAGAGGAAAGGAAAGGGCAAGGUGUUGAUGUCACUGUCGAUUUCAGAUGUUGCUGCUGUAAAACUUAAUAUGUAUGGAAGAAUCUAGCACGUCAGAAAUGAACUGAUCAGCCUAGUGCAUGGUGCAAGGAAAAAAAUUUCAGAAUCAGCCUAGUUCAGUUGUUGUUUCUGUUUUCAGUCUGAUUUUUGUUCUGAAUUGCAGGACUGGAGGAGAUUAGAAAAGGAAAAGAGUGAUGAAUUAAACCCAUCAAGUUCUUGCUGUCUAAAUUUUGAUGUUUAUCCAGCAAAUGCAGAUCUAAAUGUCUGAUACAGAAUCCUGCCUUUAUUUACGGCCCAUUGUACACCUCAAGCAAAUCAGAUAUAAUUUCAUGAGUUGCAGAAUUGAAAUUAAAAGUCUAGCAGAUUCUUAAACUGUAGUUGAAUCUGAAUUCAGAAUUGGUGUGAUUUGUUUGAAACAAGUGUUGUGCCACUUAUGGUUGAUGUGUCUGGUCAGCUUGGUUUGGAGUUUAAUAUCCUGUUUAUUUAGUGUUAAAUGAGAUUCUCGAAUAGGCUUAACCUUACAAGUCUUAUGCUGAAAGACUUUCAGAUUGCUAAUUCUGAAACUUUCUUUGGAAGCAUUAACUCUGUGAAGUUGAAUUCUGGAUUCUAGAUGCAGAAAAAAAAAAAUCUGUUUGUCAAUUAAAUUCUGAAAAUUCUCAGAGAAGUGCAAGAUGGUGAUAGGGAGAGUUGGUUGGAGAAGAGCUAAGUUUGGAAUUGGCUAACUUCUGGAUAUUGAAUUGUGAGAAGAAACGAAGCAGAAGAGAGAAAAAAAAACCCUGCAGAACAUGAAGGAACUAUAAAUACUGCUCGUGCCAAAUCUUCAAGCUUUUCCUGAUCAGUAGCAAACUAAAUUAAAGAUGAACUCUUAAUGAUUUAAUUUGAAACUCAUUUGAAAUUUGGAUUUCUGGAAUGCUGAAGUUGGAACCCUGUUUAGUGCCAAUUUUUCAUGUUGAUUUUGCAGCAAUCAGGAUUCCAUCUCCUAAAGGUUGCAGCACUUAAAUGAAAGUCUUGACAAAACUAAAUUCUUCUUGAGAUAAAUUGAGAUUUCCUUGAAUUAUAAAAUCUGUAUUGAAGAUCAGAAGUCAUGUGCAGAAUUCUUACUAAUUUCACAUAGUAAGAAACACAUAUUUUUGAGUUCACAGAACAGCCUCUGAUAUCUGAAGAAGAUGGAAUUGCAGAAUCCAGAAAAUGCAGAAAUGUUAAGUCUGAAUGAAGAACAUGCAAUUCUUACUAAUUUCACAUAGUAAGAAACACAUAUUUUUGAGUUCACAGAACAGCCUCUGAUAUCUGAAGAAGAUGGAAUUGCAGAAUCCAGAAAAUGCAGAAAUGUUAAGUCUGAAUGAAGAACAUGCAAUUAUGUAUCAGUUUUGUGUGCUAAAUUGUGGAUGCAAUUUCUGUUGGAGCAAUCCCAAUGGUCUGUGGGACCAUGUGUUUUGGUGUUUGGGCAAAGGAUUUAAGUUAGGAUUACCCUCGUUA